GUACAACCACUUUCAGAUUUCUUUUCAGUUUGCUACCUGAAGUUGAAUGUCACAGUUACGAACAGAGCUGUUUUCUUCUGGAUUAUAUGGUCCAUGAAGAGAAGCACAGCAAAGAAGCCUGGAUAACAUUGUGUUGCAACAGCCUGAAAUAAGUAGCAAGAGAAAAUCUAAGAAAGAUGUUUAUACAAUCAUUGAUGCAGAGAUGGAGAGCACAAACCCGAGGUCUGAACAGGAUUCAGGAAUUCUGGAUGUUGAAGAUGAGGAAGAUGAUGAAGAGUGUGACAACAAAGAAGACUCCAGGGAGAUAAAGAGUCCCACAGAGGGAAGGAGAAUGCUUUCUGCCUGGUGGCCUCCACUAAGGACACCUUGUCAGGAAGCCACUGCAACAUGAACAGGGUGUGGAAAACUCAGGUGGAUACCUGAAAGACUGACUUGACCCAUGGAAGAUGGACGAAGAAGGCCCAAAGUGUCUGCGGGGGCUAGACCUGAAGAAAGUCAAGUGAAUGGGGGUGGUGGAGUCACUGAGCCAUGAAAAAGAGUCUCCUUGUCAGCAAUGAUUCAGAUGAAGAAACUAGUGACUGAGGGAAAAGAGUUGGUGAAGUCUUGGUGGAAGGGUGUUGCUGUUCCUUGCUGUGUUGUCUCUAUUGAAUACAUUGGUUACUGGUGAUCAUACUGUUCCCUAGGCAAAGAUGGUCACAUGACAACUGAGGCACUCAUGUUCAGGCUUUGCAUGAUGAAAUAUUUACUAUUCAGCACUGAAAUUUAGAUAAAUUUCCCUCCUUCAUUGCUGUGCAAAACCUAUCAAAGAUUUUUGGUCAUUAUUUUUCUAAUUUUAAUUGGACUCUAAAAUGUGGUCCAUAGGAAUUUCUUUGGGAUUUUUUUUAGUUGGUUAUGCGGAGAAGCAUUACAGCUGAUUUGCUUCUGCAUGUCUUCUUUGAAUUUUGACUUGUAUACUUUGAAUUAAGAAGGGGAGGGCCUGUGGGGAAUUAUGGUUUUGGCCUGGCAUACAGUUGGCGUGAGAAGAAGCAUGUGCCAUUGGACUUUUAGUUUAGAGACCUUAGCUUCUGACGCAUUGUGUCCCUUUCAGUGUGUCCCAACACUUAAAGAACUCCCCCAGACACUUGAACAUUCAGGCUACCUGUGUUCUCUGUCUUCCCUAGAAGUCAGGAAAACAUAGAGAAGCUUGGCAAACAUGUAAUUAAUUAGACAUUAAUUCUGUGUACCCUUAGAGCUUGCAGAUGUCAUUGUAUCCUGGCAGUUACAAUUGUAUUCUCUCUGGAAACCUCCCAUCAUAUCCUGCUUCUGAUAACGAUGUUAAAACUCUUGUUGCAUGCAAUAAACUUGUCACAUCCCUAAUUUUCAUGUAGCCCCUCUGACCUGUGCCUAAAAGAUGAAAUUUCCUUUGACCAUAAUCAGGUAUCCCUGGCUUGGUAAGUAAAUGCUGAUGUUUACACCAAGACAAAGAACUUUUAAUUCCACUAAGGCUUGCUGAAAUUUACUGAUUCUAUUUUGAAGCCCCAACCCCUUCUCAUUCACUGCCCUUUCCUAAAUUAGUCACCCACCUCCACAUACAUCAUGGUAGUCAGAACAAAGGAAUUAUUAAAAUAGAAUAGGCAUAUAUGAAGAAAUGACUCAGGGAGUAGAGGCUAGCACAUAGGCACAUGAAUCUGCAUUUAAAUUUUCAUCUCCGACCUCCCCCCAUAAACUCCGGGUCCCGUACCCCUUUUCACAGCUACCCUUUUUUUCCAACUGGAGAAUGACUUUCUCUGCUAUUGGAAACAAACAGUAACUUCUGCUGAAGGCAGACUAGUCUCUUUCUGCCUUCUCCCUUUUUAUAUUGCUUUUUAAAUAUGACAGCAUCCAUGGAGUUAAACCUUCCUACCCACCUCUGAAAAGCCCACCUCUUCAGUCAUACCACAUAAGAGACUGCAGAUGUCCAAACUACAUCAACUACUUCUCACUUACACUCAUGGUGUUUAGGAUGGUACUAGAAUAAGAGUCUUUAACAUCCUCUGUUUUUAUAGAGCCGUAAAUUUUCUUCACAGUUACUGAAUAUCCAAACAUGGUUUCUAUGAACAGGUUCAAAGUCUUUACCUGACCUUACUUAAAAUAAUAUCUCUACUUCCAUUGUCAAUUAUCCAUGACUUCCACUUCCGUAAGAAAGACAUUUUUUCUCAGUGAAUUAUAUAAGAUCCAUGUUAAUCUGCUGUUGAGUUUUAGAAACUCCAUCUUACAUAAUGCCUGUUGCUAAACUGAACUCUCCUUGUUUGCCUCUGCUCCAAUGCAUUAUACGCAUUAGAGCCUAUAAAACAUCUGGUCAGUCUCUCACAUCCUGUUCCUGAGAUCUAUGUUUCUAAACAACAACUACUUACCAAUUAAGCAUUUGCAGUAAGAGGCUUCAUUUUUAACAAAAUAAUGAGAUGUAAAAAUAGAGUUUCUGCUGUCACUCUAAACCAUGAAACCUCUUCUGAAAAUCAGACCCUGAUUAAGUGAUGCUUGAAAGACAAUGUGAUUUCAUAAGGUUCAGUUUACACAGAGAAUAUAAAACAAUCUUCUGGAGUUCAAAGACAAAUCAAUUACAUUGAAUUUAUUUAUUUAUUUAUUUUUAAUAAAAAAAGGACAAAAUGAAUACAACAUGGCUGGAAACAAUGAUACAUCUUCAACACCAGCACUUUGAAUGUGUGACUCAGUUACAUCUAUUCAAUAGGCCAUAAGAUUACAGAAUUAUAUUGUAUAAUCCUAAAUUGAUUCUUACAUGACCUUAUGAAAAAAUUCCCAAUUCUGGUUAUAUAUUUUGUACAAUAUGAACUAUAUUCUUUGAAAUUCAUUUGUUAUAUGGUGCUUUCAGAUUUGGAACCCAUAUUUACUUUUUCAGAAAAUCCAUUGAGUAUUCCAAUUUGAUUCAUAUGUGGAAUGCUUGUGAAAUAAUAAAUGCCAUUAAACUCUGGAGUCUUAAAUUCUUCAGUAGUAAUAUGUUGCUGCAGUUAGCUAUAGCAUUAUUUUUUAACAUCUAUGGAGAGAACUGUUGAAAUAUUUCUAGGUAUUCAAAACUUAGGUUUUGAAUACUUUGCUGGUAAGUAUUUGUGACUUUUAUCUUAAAUUAAAACACAUGGAGCUUGGUUUAUAAUGCCAUAUUUCUAUUAUAUUAAAACCCCUUGUGUAUUUAUGAAAACCAUCACUUUAUCAAUGGAUUUUCUCUGUUUUAUAGUUUGAGCUAAAUAUUUAUCAAGUUUGUUUUCAGUAGAAUCAAAUCUCUUUUGAUGUCUUGUUUUUCCUUUUUUUCCUACUUUGGUGAUCAUGGAACUCUAAUCAUUUUUUUUCUCAAGAUAUUUUCUCAACUUACUUCUCAACAAUCACAACUUAACUUCUUUGCUUCUAUUAUUAGCGUUUUGUUGUUUCUUUUCUACUGUACAAUGUAUGCUUCAAGUAUAGAAUUCUAUCUCUGACUUAAGGUGUAUAAUGUGUGUUUCAUUAACUAAUUUAUGUAAGCAUAACCCUUCUUUUAAAAGAAAUAUGCUUUCCUUAUUCUACAAUAUUAAAUCAGUGAUAUUUUAUUUUUAAAAUUGUUAUCACAUUUUACCCUACUUUCACUUUUUUAAAAAAUUUAUUGAUUGAUUAUAUAUACAGUGUUCUAUCUGCAUGUAUGCCUGCAGGCCAGAAGAGGACAUCAGAUCUCAUUAUAGAUGGCCAUGAGCCACCAUGUAGUUGCUGGGAAUUGAACUCAGGACCUUCGGAAGAGCAGACAGUGCUCUUAACCCCUGAGCCAUUUCUCCAGCUCCUACUUUCACUUUUGUAUAUAAUCACUAAUAGAAAACAACAUACAUUUUUUAAUAUAUUGUUUGAAUUGAGUGAUUGACAUGCUCUGAUUCUGUGCAUAUUGAAUGUUUAUGUGCCUACCAUAUAGUUAAAGUGCAGCGGAGGAAUGUUUGUCAAAAGAAUAUUUUAUUUUCAAUCUCUCUCCUAGUUCUCUCUUCUUUCUCUCUUCUUCCUUUCCCACACAUGAUCCUUCCUGUAUCCCUACCCACCCACUUUUCCUCCAUCCACUUCUGAUGUCUAUUGUAUUUCUCCUUCUAAGUGAGAUUCAAGUGUUCUCCCUUGAGUUCUCCUGUCACUUAGCUUCUUUGGGUCUGUGGAUUGUAGCAUACUUAGCCUGUAUUUUAUGGCUAAUAUCCACUUACACCAUACAUGUCUUUCUGGGUCUGGGUUACCUCCCUCAGGAUAUUUCCUAGUUUCAUCCAUUUGCAUGCAAAUUUCAUGAUGCCCUAGUUUUUCAUAGCUGAGUAGUAAUCUGUAGUGUAAACAUAACAUUUUCUUUAUCCAUUCUUUCAUUGAGGGACUUUCAGGUUCUUUCCAGUUUCUGACUAUUACAAAUAAAACUGCUAUGAACAUA